UGUCACUAUAAUAAUGAGACUCUAGAGGCUGCUGAUCGUAAGCAUCAGCUGCAGUCUCCCGCUGGAAUCCUUGACAGUGUAUUUAAAGAUGAGGAGAAAACUGUAGAAGAUGGGCUGACAAUAAAGGACAUAUGACUGUAUGCAACUUUCUUGGGCUACUUUACCUCUGGUCUCGUCCUGUGAAGGAAUAUUGCAUCUUAUCCCAUCAUUUCCUCACAUGAUGAGGAACUCAUACUGAAAGACAAGCCAUCAUUUGGCAGUGUGUUCAUGGAACAGUGUUGUGAGACACUGCAUCAUCCUUACAUAGUGAAUAUGCAUUAAGAAUCCAUCAGUUCUACUGGAUUAUUAUAGUCCAUCUAAUUCAGGAAGAUUUGCUUUGAAAAUUCAGUACUUGUUGGUACACAGCUUUAAAACACAAAGUUGUUUCAAAAAGAUCCUUGGAUGUCUAAAGUAAAUACU